rnacentral:rRNA from 1 species
UACGGGGGGGGCAAGCGUUGUUCGGAAUUACUGGGCGUAAAGGGCGCGUAGGCGGCCUGCUAAGUCGGACGUGAAAUCCCUCGGCUCAACCGGGGAACUGCGUCCGAUACUGGUGGGCUCGAAUCCGGGAGAGGGAUGUGGAAUUCCAGGUGUAGCGGUGAAAUGCGUAGAUAUCUGGAGGAACACCGGUGGCGAAGGCGGCAUCCUGGACCGGCAUUGACGCUGAGGCGCGAAAGCUAGGGGAGCAAACGGG